GAUGAAGAACGCAGCGAAAUGCGAUAAGUAAUGUGAAUUGCAGAAUUCAGUGAAUCAUCGAGUCUUUGAACGCACAUUGCGCCCGCCAGUAUUCUGGCGGGCAUGCCUGUUCGAGCGUCAUUUCAACCAUCAAGCCCCCGGGCUUGUGUUGGGGACCUGCGGCUGCCGCAGGCCCUGAAAAGCAGUGGCGGGCUCGCUGUCACACCGAGCGUAGUAGAUUUUAUCUCGCUCUGGGCGUGCUGCGGGUUCCGGCCGUUAAACCACCCUUUUAACCCAAGGUUGACCUCGGAUCAGGUAGGAAGACCCGCUGAACUUAAGCAUAUCAAUAAGCGGAGGA
rnacentral:misc_RNA from 1 species